rnacentral:rRNA from 1 species
GAUGAACGCUGGCGGCGUGCCUAAUACAUGCAAGUCGAGCGAACAGACGAGGAGCUUGCUCCUCUGACGUUAGCGGCGGACGGGUGAGUAACACGUGGAUAACCUACCUAUAAGCCUGGGAUAACUUCGGGAAACCGGAGCUAAUACCGGAUAAUAUAUUGACCCGCAUGGUUCAAUAGUGAAAGACGGUUUUGCUGUCACUUAUAGAUGGAUCCGCGCCGCAUUAGCUAGUUGGUAAGGUAACGGCUUACCAAGGCAACGAUGCGUAGCCGACCUGAGAGGGUGGUCGGCCACACUGGAACUGAGACACGGUCCAGACUCCUACGGAAGGCAGCAGUAGGGAAUCUUCCGCAAUGGGCGAAAGCCUGACGGAGCAACGCCGCGUGAAUGAUGAAGGUCUUCGGUUCGUAAAACUCUGUUAUUAGGGAAGAACAAAUGUGUAAGUAACUAUGCACGUCUUGACGGUACCUAAUCAGAAAGCCACGGCUAACUACGUG